CUCUCUCUAAAAAUCCUUCUCUUCUCUCUCCCUCUCUCUCUAGGGCUUGGACCAAGGAGGGUUUGGAGGAGAAAAGCUUGGAGAAGAAGCUCUCCAAGGUGAAGACCAAGCUUGAUCAAGGCUUUGAAGGAAAGAUUUGGACUCCAAAGGUGAGUUCUCGUGGAUUUUGAACUAGGGUUUGGGUUUUUCCUUCUAGUAUACUUCUAGGAGAUGGAUUACAGUAUUUUCCCCCAUGUUUCGUCAAGCUAGGGGCUUGAUUGGAAAAGAUGACAUCGUGGGGGACCUAUAUUUAGGGUUUUGUAAUUUUGAGGUUCAAACUUGGAUUUGAUCUCAUUUUAACCUAAUUGGUAGGUCUACGAACGCAUCGGUGCGCUCGGUUCGGCGAUACGACGAGCGUGCGCGAAGAUAUU
rnacentral:lncRNA from 1 species